UUAUCUCUUCCAUUUUCUCUCUCUCUCUCUCUCCAUCCGCUGAUGCAUAUUAUUUCUCGCCCGAGCAUUGUCAAACAAAAUCGCCCUGAUCUUCCCUGCCUGCGCUUCGUCCGUGAUUUGGCGGACGAGCUCGGAUGGCGUUUCAGCCUCCUCUCCCGGCUUCCCAUCAGAGGCACCGGCGGACGCACGACACCGCUCCAGAUCCUCUCCAUCACGCUGUGUGGUGCCUACGGAGCCAGACAUUGACGCGGCGCGCCAUCAGCAAGCUGUGCGAAGGAGCUCUAGGUGUUCGUGCCGGCUUCACCUCCACCGGACUCCCCCUGCCCGAGCUCCUCCCCGGCCCGGUCUCUCUGAAAAGAAGACAUGGAUGAGAAGCCGGAGAUGAGGCUUGUGGCGGCCGGCUUCGAACGGAGGCGGGAGCGGCCCUCGCUGGGUCGAGAGGCGCUGCAGCGGCUGACGGUGUAAGGCGCCAAGCGGUGGAGCCAGGCAUAUGGGAGGCCUCACCAGCUCACUUCUUUGCCUCUCGGCUUUGCAGCACCGGCCGUCUUCACCGCUGGCUCUCCAGGACCAAACGACGCCACCACACGGAGCUUCCCCUCUGUCUCGCCUUGCCCUAGCGUCGUCCCCUUGCCGUCGAGUCCCAGCGAGGCUCGCCAAGCAAGGGUGAUGGCGACAAGAAGACGCAUCGCCUCAAUUUCAGUCUUCUCCAAUAAGGACGUGCCCGUCGCCGGCUUGGCCAUUGCCAGAGGUUUGCUGGGAGGUGCGGAUCCAAAAUUUAGUUUGUGUAGUACUAAAUUUUUCCCUUUCUAUGCAGGUUGCGAGAUGAAUCUGGAUGAUUUCUUUUAAUUUUGACUCAAAGACCCGAAAAGUGCCUGGCUGGAUAGGAUGGACGCGGAUUGUGCCAUGCGUAUGUAGUUCAUCUGCAGAGCUGCAGCCGAGAAAUGGCAGGGUCUCGCCGGCCACUGUCGUCGCCCGCAGUUCCCGCAGCCAGGUUGGCCGUGAUGGAUACCGGCGAAUCGACCACCGCCGCCUGAUGGUGCACUCAAUGUUGUUCCACUCCCACUGUAGGGGAGCAGGCGGCUGUGGCAUCAGGACCAUCCGGGUCCGGAUCAAUUCGUCGAGACACAGACCACUUCCACUGAUCUCUUUAGAGUAUAUGAUUGCUUCAGAAAGGAAAGUUCUAUGGUUGAUGGGGAGCUUCAGUAUCUUCGUGUGGCCAUGGGCCAUGAAAAUGAAUCUUUUGAGGAUUUCGUCAAGUCACAUGAUGCAUGCCAAGAGGACCUUAUGUUUUUCCCGAAGAAUAAAAGCUAUGGUCUUGCCAGUGUUGCUGGAAAUGCUGAUAAGAUUUCUGCUUUGCAACACGAGUUUGAAAUUGUGAGGAAGAGAAUGGAUGCUGAAGCAAAGAAAGCAUAUAAGUUACAUGACUAACUUCCAUAUCUGCACAAAACAUGUCUAAUGAUCUGCAUUCUGCUCACUUAUGGAUGCCAGCUCCACCUCUGAAAAAAAGGAAGGUCAAAGCAUUGGCUACUACACCAAGAACCAGGCUUCAAUACAAUUCAAAGAGCUGCAGCACCAUUGCUAAUAUAGUUUGCUGACAUAUUGGUAAAGAAAGCAUAUGAAGAGUGGAUCCAUGAUGUAGGAUACGAUCGUAAGACACUCCAGAGCUUCAAGCAUAAUCUGUCGCAACCAAAAGUGAUAAAGCAGCAGCUUCAACAAUUAACCAUGCUUCACAUGGUUCAAUCAAUGCACAGAAACAAUUAUUUGCGGGAAAAGCUAGCCAAACUUCCGCAGGUACUAUAAAGUCAAGUCAGCUCAGCCUAAGGAUCCAAGAGGAAGAAUAAAACCAUGAAUCUGCCGACGUUAGUCUGCAGAAGACCAUGUUUAGAGCUGCUGAUCUACGUUCAGUCUCUAGAAACAAAGACUUCUAUUAUACUGUUGUAUAUAUUAAGUGCCCACCAGGAAAAAUAAAUUACUUUAUCGUGCUACUAUGUUCUUUAUCAUACUCUGUUUCAUAGGACUUCCGAGUUUAAGUGUCUGUACGUAUAAGUAAUUAAGGUGUA